rnacentral:rRNA from 1 species
GUAGGGUGCGAGCGUUGUCCGGAAUUAUUGGGCGUAAAGAGCUCGUAGGCGGUUUGUUGCGUCGGCCGUGAAAACUCAGGGCUUAACUCUGAGCCUGCGGUCGAUACGGGCAGACUUGAGUUCGGUAGGGGAGACUGGAAUUCCUGGUGUAGCGGUGAAAUGCGCAGAUAUCAGGAGGAACACCGGUGGCGAAGGCGGGUCUCUGGGCCGAUACUGACGCUGAGGAGCGAAAGCGUGGGGAGCGAACAGGAUUAGAUACCCUGGUAGUCCACGCCGUAAACGUUGGGCGCUAGGUGUGGGGGACUUUCCACGUCCUCCGUGCCGCAGCUAACGCAUUAAGCGCCCCGCCUGGGGAGUACGGCCGCAAGGCUAAA